CAAGCUAGUUCCCAAAGCAUACCACCGACCGAACUAAUCAUUCCUAAACCAGAUCAUGCAUCAAAAGUUCAUUCUGAAGGAACACGUUCAACCUUGUCCCGGCCAUCCUUUACUGAUCCGCUGGUAACAGCAGAAAGAUUGCAUUCACCUUCUGAUGUACAUGAUCAUAAAGAACCUCAGAUUCCGCACGGACAUGACACUCUCAAAGAUGAAAUCUUACAUCAUAAGAGAAAAGCAGUUGCUUUUAAGAGGGAAGGUAAAAUGGCAGAAGCUAGAGAAGAAUUGAAACAGGCAAAACUCUUAGAAAAACGUCUUGAAGUCUCU
rnacentral:lncRNA from 1 species